GCGCCCAUAGCUCAGCUGGAUAGAGUGCCGGACUACGAAUCCGUAGGUCGGGUGUUCGAAUCACCCUGGGCGCGCCA
rnacentral:tRNA from 1 species